rnacentral:rRNA from 1 species
UACGUAGGGGGCAAGCGUUGUCCGGAAUUAUUGGGCGUAAAGAGCGUGUAGGCGGUGCUGUAAGUCAACCGUGAAAGCUCCCGGCUAAACUGGGAGAGGUCGGAUGAGACUGCAGCGCUAGUGGGUCGUAGAGGAAUGUGGAAUUCCGGGUGUAGUGGUGAAAUGCGUAGAGAUCCGGAGGAACACCAGAGGCGAAGGCGGCAUUCUGGACGACAUCAGACGCUGAGACGCGACAGCACGGGGAGCGAACGGG